AUGGUGAAGCCGCGAAUGGCUCAUUACAACAGCCACUGUUUACUUGAUCUUGAUUAUCCUACUUGGAUAACUGUGGUAAUUCUAGAGCUAAUACACGCAAUAAAGCUCCGACCUUACGGGACGAGCGCAUUUAUUAGACCAAAACCAAUCGGGCCUCGGCCUGAACGGUGGUGACUCUGAAUAACUGAGCUGAUCGCAUGGUCUUUGUACCGGCGACGCAUCUUUCAAGUGUCUGCCUUAUCAACUUUCGAUGGUAGUUUAUGUGCCUACCAUGGUUGUUACGGGUAACGGAGAAUAAGGGUUCGACUCCGGAGAGGGAGCCUGAGAAACGGCUACCACAUCCAAGGAAGGCAGCAGGCGCGCAAAUUACCCACUCUCGGCACGAGGAGGUAGUGACGAAAAAUAACGAGGCGGUUCUCUAAGAGGCCCGCUAUCGGAAUGGGUACAAUUUAAACCCUUUAACGAGGACCUAUGAGAGGGCAAGUCUGGUGCCAGCAGCCGCGGUAAUUCCAGCUCUCAAGGUGUAUA
rnacentral:rRNA from 1 species